rnacentral:rRNA from 1 species
UCGGGAAUAUUGCGCAAUGGAGGAAACUCUGACGCAGUGAUGCCGCGUAUAGGAAGAAGGUUUUCGGAUUGUAAACUAUUGUCGUUAGGGAAGAAAAAAGACAGUACCUAAGGAGGAAGCUCCGGCUAACUACGUGCCAGCAGCCGCGGUAAUACGUAGGGAGCAAGCGUUAUCCGGAUUUAUUGGGUGUAAAGGGUGCGUAGACGGGCGAUCAAGUUAGUUGUGAAAUCCCUCGGCUCAACUGAGGAACUGCAACUAAAACUGGUUGUCUUGAGUGCAGGAGAGGUAAGUGGAAUUCCUAGUGUAGCGGUGAAAUGCGUAGAUAUUAGGAGGAACACCAGUGGCGAAGGCGACUUACUGGACUGUAACUGACGUUGAGGCACGAAAGUGUGGGGAGCAAACAGGAUUAGAUACC